UCUGCCCACUGAUAAAUAUUGAAGGGCUGCAGUAUAUUGACUGUACAAAGGUAGCAUAAUCAUUAGUCAUUUAAUUGGUGACUUGUAUGAAAGAUUGGAUGAAAUAUAAACUGUCUCUUAAUUAUAAAUAGAAUUUAAUUUUUUUAUUAAAAAGUUAAAAUAAUUUAAAAAGACGAGAAGACCCUAUAGAGUUUUAUAAUUAAAAUAAUUAAUAUUAUUUGUUAAAUUAAGGUUGAAAUUAUUUUAUUUAUUAUAUUGGGGUGAUAAAAAAAUAUAUAUAACUUUUUUUAAAUAAAAACAUUUAUAAGUGAUUAAUUGAUCCAAUAUUAUUGAUUAAAAGAAAAAAUUACCUUAGGGAUAACAGCGUAAUUUUUUUUUUUAGUUCAUAUAAUAAAAAGAGUUUGCGACCUCGAUGUUGGAUUAAGAUAAAAUUUAAAUGCAGAAG
rnacentral:rRNA from 1 species